AAGAAAUCAAACGAGAUUAUUCUUUAGUGUCAUCUAAAGAAUAUUAGUCUAAUAUUCGUCACUAUGAAUUUAAAUUAGUUUCGACUAAAUUAAAGGAAUUUUGAUGGAUUUAAAGUAAAACGGAUUAAAUCUGUUUGAAUAAAGGGGAACCUUCCUCUAAGGCUAAAUAUGAUAUAUAAGCGAUAGUGAAUAGUACCGUGAGGUAAAAUUUGAAAUAGUAGUUUUAUAAGCAGCUCGAGUAAAGUUUAAAUAAAUAAUAAGAGCGUACCUUUUGCAUAAUGGGUCAGCAAGUUAAUUUUAGAUGCAAGCGAUGAUUAUAUAAAAUCUAGCUUAGAUAAACCAAUUAUGAAAAAAUGAGUAAGUAUCUAGGAUUAGACCCGAAGGCUAGUGAUCUUACCAUGGUCAGGGUUAUAAAAGCCCGAACGGGUUAUCGUUGUAUAGAUAUCCGAAGAACUGUGGUAAGUUAGUGAAAGACAAAACUGACUAGUAUAGCUGGUUUUCCGCGAAACCUAUAUGAGUAGGUAAUUUAAUUAACAUCUUAGCAGGUACAGAACUGUGAUCUCGGACAAUAUCUUCAAUGAAGAUUUUGUAAACAUCGGGGGAUUGUAGUGAUUUUACCGGAGAGUAUUUGCACUCGGAAUGGCAAAGAUGAAUGUUGAAUAAUCGGACAUAGUACGAUAAGGUUGUAUGUCUAAAGGGAAACAGCCCAGAACAAGAGUUUAAGGUU
rnacentral:ncRNA from 1 species